CGCCGUGGGAAUUUUCUCCGGGAGGUGGCGCGGCCGCUUGGCUCCGGAAAGAAAGUCCGCGGAUCGUCAGAUGGAGACCCGAGGCGACGGAGAAGCCCGAGCUCGCUCGGUUCUGCCGAAGACUCGCUUUGCACGGACGGCCCCUGGCUGCCUGCCGCAGGGAAGCGAAGGCCAACAGAACGGCGUGGAGCCGAUCAGAUCGCGCCGAGGCCGGGGAAACUGAGGCAGCCGCGGGUGCAGAGCGAGGCCAGGUCCUGACGAGUGUUUCCCUUCUUCUCUUCUCUCCGUCUUCUUUCUCCAUGGGGGUGGUGGGCUCAGUUGCACGGCUCGCUGCCCGUGUAUCCGCUAAUGGAUCAAGUGUACUUAGCACUAGCCGCAGCUGUUGGUGAGGUGUGGAAGCGUCCGCCCCUGGUGCCGGGAGCACAGACAGACACACAGAUCUGGGUCCCGGCCGCGCUCGAGUCCUCCGGAUUCCGCGGGCACCUGCCCUCAAGCGCGCAGCAGCCCCACUCGGGGCUACCCACGCCUGCAGAGAAGGAGAGAGGUGUCAAGCCCCAAAGUCCCUUGAGCAACUGGCGGAAACGGUACAGCACGGCCGGAACCUAGAUCUGUCUGUCUGUCUGUGCUCCUGGCACCAGGGAUGUACGCUUCCACACUUCACAAACAGCUGCGGUUUGUGCUAAGGACACUUUAUUAGAGUAUAGAUAGGUGGCAGUUACACCAGUCUGCACACGCUGAGCUCCCUAUAUGUUCUGUAUGCUAUAGAAAAUGAUCUACCAUAGCUGGGGUACUGGCUAGCAGGUGCGUUCCUUUCCAACGUCAGCUGGAGAAUUAAAAAGCAGAAGGACACAAAGUAAAAGUGAAAUUCAUUGGCGAUCGAUACAGGUAUCUGAGGGAGGGGGACCCCCCUCCCCCUCCCCCCCNNNNNNNNNNNNNNNNNNNNNNNNNNNNNNNNNNNNNNNNNNNNNNNNNNNCAUUGCUUUAACGGUGUUUAUGUGCCCCUUCUGGAAGCAGGCCUCUUUCUUGGUCCACUGGCACAAAAAUACCCAAAUUGUUGAUUGGCUGAGGUAAGAGUGGAUACCCCAGUGUUCUCUCCUUUUUGUGGUGUGACAGCUACAGAGAGGCCCACAAUAUAUGACGGAAUGUGGUAUAUGUUUCAGAGAAAUGGACACUUGCUGCUGGGUGCCUACCCCACCAAUAAAUGGAAACUCACUAUUUUUGGAGGCUAAAUAAAUAAAUAAAAU
rnacentral:lncRNA from 1 species